AUCCUACGGGGGGCAGCAGUGGGGAAUAUUGGGCAAUGGGCGCAAGCCUGACCCAGCAACGCCGCGUGAAGGAAGAAGGCUUUCGGGUUGUAAACUUCUUUUGACAGGGAAGAGCAGAAGACGGUACCUGUCGAAUAAGCCACGGCUAACUACGUGCCAGCAGCCGCGGUAAUACGUAGGUGGCAAGCGUUGUCCGGAUUUACUGGGUGUAAAGGGCGUGCAGCCGGAGAGACAAGUCAGAUGUGAAAUCCGCAGGCUCAACCUGCGAACUGCAUUUGAAACUGUUUCCCUUGAGUAUCGAAGAG
rnacentral:rRNA from 1 species